rnacentral:rRNA from 1 species
CAAUAGCGCAUAUUAAAGUUGUUGCAGUUAAAAAGCUCGUAGUUGGAUUUGUGGUGGUUCCUGUGGUCCGAUUUCGGUACUCUCGGGGACUGCCAUCUUUGGGUGGAUCCUGUGUGGCAUUAGGUUGUCGUGCAGGGGAUGCCCAUCGUUUACUGUGAAAAAAUUAGAGUGUUCAAAGCAGGCUUAUGCCGUUGAAUAUAUUAGCAUGGAAUAAUGAGAUAGGACCUUGGUACUAUUUUGUUGGUUUGCGCACCGAGGUAAUGAUUAAUAGGGACAGUUGUGGGUAUUCGUAUUCCAUUGUCAGAGGUGAAAUUCUUGGAUUUCUGGAAGACGAACUAAUGCGAAAGCAUUUACCAAGGAUGUUUUCAUUAA